rnacentral:rRNA from 1 species
AGUGAACGCUGGCGGUAGGCCUAACACAUGCAAGUCGAACGGCAGCACAGUAAGAGCUUGCUCUUACGGGUGGCGAGUGGCGGGCGGGUGAGGAAUACAUCGGAAUCUACUUUUUCGUGGGGGAUAACGUAGGGAAACUUACGCUAAUACCGCAUACGACCUACGGGUGAAAGCAGGGGAUCUUCGGACCUUGCGCGAUUGAAUGAGCCGAUGUCGGAUUAGCUAGUUGGCGGGGUAAAGGCCCACCAAGGCGACGAUCCGUAGCUGGUCUGAGAGGAUGAUCAGCCACACUGGAACUGAGACACGGUCCAGACUCCUACGGGAGGCAGCAGUGGGGAAUAUUGGACAAUGGGCGCAAGCCUGUUCCAGCCAUACCGCGUGGGUGAAGAAGGCCUUCGGGUUGUAAAGCCCUUUUGUUGGGAAAGAAAAGCAGCAGGUUAAUACCCCGCUGUUCUGACGGUACCCAAAGAAUAAGCACCGGCUAACUUCGUG